AUGUGGCGGGCGCGGCGACCCGGCGGCUCCCAGUCUAGGAUCGAACCAAGAUGUGAGCGCCCGCUGGGGGGCCAGGUUGGCGCCCUUGGGACCACAGCGCAGGGGCGUGUGCCUGGGACCCUCUGCUACCCUGCCCCUCCGGUUCCCUCUGGACCGCUGCCAGCCGGCUGCUGCAGAGCCGCAGGAGCUGCAUGGGCUAAAUGCUCCCACAAACAAUAUAUCCGGUACCGGGAACCAAACUCACGACCUCAAGCUUGCCAGGCAGGCACUGUGCUGCUGAGUUAA
rnacentral:lncRNA from 1 species